rnacentral:ncRNA from 1 species
CUAGUUGGUGAGGCAAUAGCUUACCAAGGCGAUGAUCAGUAGCUGGUCCGAGAGGAUGAUCAGCCACACUGGGACUGAGACACGGCCCAGACUCCUACGGGAGGCAGCAGUGGGGAAUUUUCCGCAAUGGGCGAAACCCUGACGGAGCAAUGCCGCGUGGAGGUGGAAGGCCUACGGGUCGUCAACUUCUUUUCUCGGAGAAGAAACAAUGACGGUAUCUGAGGAAUAAGCAUCGGCUAACUCUGUGCCAGCAGCCGCGGUAAGACAGAGGAUGCAA